rnacentral:lncRNA from 1 species
GCCGCCGGGGCCGCCUAGAGAAGAGGCUGUGCUUCGGCGCUCCGGCUCCUCAGAGAGCCUCGGCUAGGUGUGGAAACAGGAAGAGAACUAGAACUGGAAGUAAAGCAUUGAAGAUGUGACUGAAUUGCUGCAAUCUCAUGAUCAAAUUUGAAUGGAUGAGGAGUUGCUUUUUAGGGAUGAGCAAAGAAAGUGGUUUCUCGAGAUGGAAUCUACUGGUGAAGUUGCUGUGAACAUUGUUAAAAUGCCAAUAAAGGAUUUAGGAAUUACAGAAACCUGGUUGAUAAAGCAGUGCCAGGGUGUGAGAGAGUUGACUUCAAUUUUGAAAUAAGUUCCACUGGCUGGGUGUGGUGGCUCACACCUGCAAUCCCAGUACUUUAGGAGGCCGAGACUGGUAGAUCAUUUGAGGUCAGGAGUUCAAGACCAGCCUUGCCAACAUGGUGAAACCCCACCUCUACCAAAUUAGCCAGGUGUGGUGCACACCUGUAGUCCCAGCUACUUGGGAAGCUGAGGCAGGAGAAUCUCUUGAACCAGGGAGGAGGAGGUUGCAGUAAGCCGAGAUGGCGCCCCUGCACUCCAGCCUGGGUGACAGAGUGAGACCUUGCGUUUAAAAAAAAAAAAAAAGGAAAAGGAAAAAAAAGUUCUACUGUGGGUAAAAUGCUAUCAUGCUAUCAAACAGCAUCACAUGCUACAGAGAAGUCUUGUGAAAGGAUGUCAGUGUGGCAAACUUCAUUGUCUUUUAAGAAAUUGCCACAGCUAUCGUAAUCUUCAACCACCACCACCCUGAUGAGUCAGUAGCCAUCGUUAACGUUGGCGUAAGACCCUCCACCAGCAAAAAGAUUGUUAGCAUUUUUUUAGCAGUGAUGUAUUUAUCAAUUAUACAUAAUGCUAUUGUACACUUCUUAAUAGACUAUGGUAUAGUGUAACCAUAAUUUAUGCACUGGGAAACCAACAAAUUCAUGAGAUUCGCUUUAUUGUAGUGCUCUGGAAUUGAGCCUGCCGUGUUUCUGAGGUAUACCUGUGUAUUUAGUAUGUUCCUUGUAUAUAAAACCCCAUUUUAUAGGGUAGGAAACUAAGGCUUAGAGUUUGAGCAAUUUUCCCAUAGAUAACACCAAUAAAUUGAGGGCUGCAGAGACCACUUAAGUGGUUCUCUUAACAGUAGUCUAGACAUGACGUAAUGAGAUUUGGCUUAGGAGUGACAAUGGUAAGGAAGUUAAAGGAUUCAGGAACCAAAUACCAGUUAUUGAGAAGAAAGAAUGGCCUCAAAACAUCACUUCUCAAGGAAGCCUUGAUACCCUCACCCUUACUACACUGUAUCCUCCAUUUGAAUGUUGUCAAGAGCUCUUCUCACAAUUGUAAAUAAUAAUUGUGUAAUUUUGUUUUUUUUUUCCUACUUUAGGUUGCUCCUUGAGGGCAGGACAGUUCUUAUGGCUUUAUCCGUUGCGUAAGCACAGAGAGGUCUGCGAGGUCAAAACUAUUGUCAUGAUAGCAAGAUGCCUGUCUUUUUCAUUUAUUCUCACGGUGUGCAGAGGCUACAUGAUGUGUGAUGACAUCCUCAUUGAUGUUAAUGAAUGGUGCUAUACUUGAAUUUUCUAAGGUGUCAUUAGGUAGGUUUAGGUAUGCAUACUUGUUUUUAGAAAUUAUUUUUUUCCUUUUUCCCAUUUUUAGAAAUCAACUCAUUUUUUAGGUUAUGCCUUCAGUAAUCUUUGCAACCUCAAUAUUGUGUAAUGGUUACUUUAAAAUACUGUAGUUUUCUUUGUGCCUAAGUAUAAACAUAAGUACAUUUUGUUGUUUUGUUUGCAAUAGUGGUUUAAAUAUUUUCCCAAAAUAUCCAAAUUUAAAAAUUCUACAACUUUAGAAUUUAAUAAAUUUAUUCUAAAAUAUUUAUAUAUUUUUUCAUUUAAGAAUGGAUCGGCUUAAAAAGACUGCUUCUCAUUUACUUACUGGCUAUACCAUCUGUAUACUAAUAAAAAACAAGAUUUGAUUUGGA